rnacentral:rRNA from 1 species
CUACGGGCUGCUCCAGUGGGGAAUAUUGCACAAUGGGCGCAAGCCUGAUGCAGCCAUGCCGCGUGUAUGAAGAAGGCCUUCGGGUUGUAAAGUACUUUCAGCGGGGAGGAAGGGAGUAAAGUUAAUACCUUUGCUCAUUGAUGUUACCCGCAGAAGAAGCACCGGCUAACUCCGUGCCAGCAGCCGCGGUAAUACGGAGGGUGCAAGCGUUAAUCGGAAUUACUGGGCGUAAAGCGCACGCAGGCGGUUUGUUAAGUCAGAUGUGAAAUCCCCGGGCUCAACCUGGGAACUGCAUCUGAUACUGGCAAGCUUGAGUCUCGUAGAGGGGGGUAGAAUUCCAGGUGUAGCGGUGAAAUGCGUAGAGAUCUGGAGGAAUACCGGUGGCGAAGGCGGCCCCCUGGACGAAGACUGACGCUCAGAUGCGAAAGCGUGGGGAGCAAACAGGAUUAGAUACCCCAGUAGUC